AGGAAUUAAGGAUAAGUUGUCUAGAUCUGAACUACCACAUACUCUUGAGGCUUUAAUGUCACUUAGCAUAACUAUAGACAGAAGACUGAGAGAGAGACAGCAGGAGAGAUCAUUUCAUGAAUAUCCUGCAAAGAAACAAAAUACACCCAGCCCCAGCAAAUCAACUGCUGAACCUAUGGAUAUAGGUUUUAUAAAGGGACCAUUAACCCUGAGGAGAAGAUCCGACGAAGGGCUAAUAACCUCUGCUUAUACUGUGCUUCAGACAAACACACUGUCAGGGACUGUCCUUCCCUCCUGAAACAAAACAAGGUGGGAGUCACAUCGAAUCAACGCUCCCGCGAUUAUUGACUCAGGAGCUACAGCCUCCUACAUAGAUACUGUAUUCACUAAAUUCAAUAAAAUUCCACUUGUGCAAAAAA